rnacentral:rRNA from 1 species
CUUGGUCAUUUAGAGGAAGUAAAAGUCGUAACAAGGUUUCCGUAGGUGAACCUGCGGAAGGAUCAUUAGUGAACGCCCUCACGGGCUUAUAACUAUUCCAAACCUCUGUGAACCGUGCCCUUCGGGGCUAUUUUACAAACAUGGUGUAAUGAACGUCAUAUAUCAUAACAAAACAAAACUUUCAACAACGGAUCUCUUGGCCCUCGCAUCGAUGAAGAACGCAGCGAAAUGCGAUAAGUAAUGUGAAUUGCAGAAUUCAGUGAAUCAUCGAAUCUUUGAACGCACCUUGCGCCCUCUGGUAUUCCGGAGGGCAUGCCUGUUUGAGUGUCAUGUAGACUCAAUCCCUCGGGUUUCCGAGGAGAUUGGACUUGGGUGUUGCCGCUCUGCCGGCUCGCCUUAAAAGACUUAGCGGGAUAGCACCGUAGUCGGCGUAAUAAGUUUCGUCGGUGAAGGUUGUGAUGACUGCUUACAAUCGCCCUCGGGCAAUUUUUGACUCUGACCUCAAAUCAGGUAGGACUACCCGCUGAACUUAAGCAUAUCAAUAAGCGGAGGA